CUAUGAUGCCAUAACUGGAAAAUUCCACACUGGACUCCUUGUAAGGGUCAUGAUAAAAAUGCUGGGACACUAAACACGCUGUAUGAAGUCACAUACAAGCUUUCCUCUCACACGGUGACAAUCCAGCAGCUGGCGUGCACAUGGCCACUGACAGCAGGGUGUGCUCCUAAAUCUGGACUCUCUUAUUUUCUUCCGAAAGCCUUCUUUGGCCUGCCAACAUCUCCCGAUAUGGCGAAACCUAGCCUUUGGUUCCUUCUCCUUCUGCAUAAAAGACAAACUACUUAAUGAAUUCAACUGAAGCUUCUGGGCUUCCUGGAGUUUGGAUCUCCAUGCUUAUAAAAUGGCUCAGAACUAUUUUCAGCACUGGGAAAAUAUUAAAAUGAAGUUAAUAAUUAAGUCACACAA